rnacentral:tRNA from 1 species
GCCUGGCUGGCUCAGUUGGUAGAGCAUCUGACUCUUGAUCUCAGGGUUGUGAGUUUGAGCCCCAUGUUGGGUG